UAACAGGUUGAUAUUCCUGUACCACCUAUAAUCGUUUUAAUCGAUGGGGGGACGCAGUAGGAUAGGCGAAGCGUGCGAUUGGAUUGCACGUCUAAGCAGUAAGGCUGAGUAUUAGGCAAAUCCGGUACUCGUUAAGGCUGAGCUGUGAUGGGGAGAAGACAUUGUGUCUUCGAGUCGUUGAUUUCACACUGCCGAGAAAAGCCUCUAGAUAGAAAAUAGGUGCCCGUACCGCAAACCGACACAGGUAGUCAAGAUGAGAAUUCUAAGGUGAGCGAGCGAACUCUCGUUAAGGAACUCGGCAAAAUGACCCCGUAACUUCGGGAGAAGGGGUGCUCUUUAGGGUUAACGCCCAGAAGAGCCGCAGUGAAUAGGCCCAAGCGACUGUUUAUCAAAAACACAGGUCUCUGCUAAACCGUAAGGUGAUGUAUAGGGGCUGACGCCUGCCCGGUGCUGGAAGGUUAAGAGGAGUGGUUAGCUUCUGCGAAGCUACGAAUCGAAGCCCCAGUAAACGGCGGCCGUAACUAUAACGGUCCUAAGGUAGCGAAAUUCCUUGUCGGGUAAGUUCCGACCCGCACGAAAGGCGUAACGAUUUGGGCACUGUCUCAACGAGAGACUCGGUGAAAUCAUAGUACCUGUGAAGAUGCAGGUUACCCGCGACAGGACGGAAAGACCCCGUGGAGCUUUACUGUAGCCUGAUAUUGAAAUUCGGCACAGCUUGUACAGGAUAGGUAGGAGCCUUUGAAACGUGAGCGCUAGCUUACGUGGAGGCGCUGGUGGGAUACUACCCUAGCUGUGUUGGCUUUCUAACCCGCACCACUUAUCGUGGUGGGAGACAGUGUCAGGCGGGCAGUUUGACUGGGGCGGUCGCCUCCUAAAAGGUAACGGAGGCGCUCAAAGGUUCCCUCAGAAUGGUUGGAAAUCAUUCAUAGAGUGUAAAGGCAUAAGGGAGCUUGACUGCGAGACCUACAAGUCGAGCAGGGUCGAAAGACGGACUUAGUGAUCCGGUGGUUCCGCAUGGAAGGGCCAUCGCUCAACGGAUAAAAGCUACCCCGGGGAUAACAGGCUUAUCUCCCCCAAGAGUUCACAUCGACGGGGAGGUUUGGCACCUCGAUGUCGGCUCAUCGCAUCCUGGGGCUGUAGUCGGUCCCAAGGGUUGGGCUGUUCGCCCAUUAAAGCGGUACGCGAGCUGGGUUCAGAACGUCGUGAGACAGUUCGGUCCCUAUCCGUCGUGGGCGUAGGAAAUUUGAGAGGAGCUGUCCUUAGUACGAGAGGACCGGGAUGGACAUACCUCUGGUGUACCAGUUGUCGUGCCAACGGCAUAGCUGGGUAGCUAUGUGUGGACGGGAUAAGUGCUGAAAGCAUCUAAGCAUGAAGCCCCCCUCAAGAUGAGAUUUCCCAACUUCGGUUAUAAGAUCCCUCAAAGAUGAUGAGGUUAAUAGGUUCGAGGUGGAAGCAUGGUGACAUGUGGAGCUGACGAAUACUAAUCGAUCGAAGACUUAAUCAA
rnacentral:rRNA from 1 species